AAAAGUAAAAAUAUAUAAAAGACCUGCAACGCUGAAAAGAGUGGGAAAAUCGGAGUAUCCACGAAAAAAAAAAGUACAAAGGGGAGAAUUUUUUUUUUUUUUGUAGCGUCUAUGUUAGGUUGAUUUUUGAUUUUGCAUGGAAGCAAAGAAGAGGAAACUAGACCUUGAUUGGAACAAGUUACUCUCUAAAGACGUAGCAGAUGAAGAGCCACCGCCGCCGUUAGUGGUUAUCAAGGCUGAGCCACAACCAUCACCGAGGAAAUCGGACACAAUGGGCGGCGGCGAUGAUCAAGGGAAAGAGGAAUUUUGGGAGAGUUUGCCUGAUGAUAAGCUGGAAGAGAAGAUUCUACGGCAGCAAAGGAAUCUGGAAUGCUUUGGCUCUAAAUUACCGGAUAAAGGGAAGAAGAUUAGCGAUCAGCUUCGGCUUCUCGAGGAGGAGAAAAGACGGAGAACGGUUUCGCGAGCGAAAAUGAAUGCUGAUGAAUGUGAGAAGCCUGGGCAAUCUCCGAGCUCAGAUCUUGUUGGUUCUUCUAAUGGCUUUGAACAUCAGUGUAAAUCACAAGAAGCUUUCUCACAAUCUGCAUUUGGUGCUAGUUUUUGUAAAAAGUUGGAAGAAAAUACAGAUUCUAGGUCACUCAACACAUUUGAGAAAAGUUUAUCAGUUUUGAAUCGUUGUGACUCCCGAAAACCGAGAUGCAAUGGGGAGUUUUCACAGAGUGAAAGGGUGAAAGUUCGAAGAUCACCAAGACGGAUGAAUUCACAACACCAAAUGAAGCCUUCUUUUGGUGAUCAAAAGGGUAGGACAGCUACAUUAUCUUCUCUUUUUAACACGGAUGACAACUUGACAAGCAUUGCAAAGAAGGAUGCUAUUCAAGUCCAACCAUCAAAUUAUUCAAAGUGUAGGCAGGGCCAGACUGUUGUUAUUGUAGAUGAGGAAGAACCACAGUUAGUAAAGACAACAGAGCUUGAAGUUAAACUUCCGAAUUGCAAAAAGGAUGCUAGGAUCUAUUAUCCAUCAAGGGAUGAUCCAGAAUCUGUUGAAAUUUGUUUUGGUGAUAUUGACAGCCUUGCUCCUGAAACCUUCUUGACAUCUCAAAUUAUGAAUUUCUACAUCCGAUAUUUGCGGCAGCAGGCAUCCCCAACAAACAGGGCUAUAUGUGACUAUCAUAUUUUUAACACAUAUUUUUACCCGAAGCUGAAGGAAGCUGUAUCAUACAAGGUUUUAUCUUUCCUGUUCUCUUAUAGAUGGUUGCCUUUUUCGCGGUGUAAGGGGAGUGACAAAGAUUCCUUAUUCAUCAAGUUCAGAAGGUGGUGGAAAGGUGUCAAUAUUUUCCAGAAAGCAUAUAUACUUAUUCCAAUUAAUGAAGAUUACCAUUGGAGUUUGGUCAUCAUUUGUAUACCUGACAAAGAAGAGGAAUUAGGACCAAUUAUCCUUCAUUUGGAUUCAUUGGGACUUCAUUCUAGCAGAUUGGUUUUUAAGAACAUUAAAAGCUACAUGAGGGAAGAAUGGACCUAUUUGAAUCAAGAGGUUGCUCCUUCAGAUCUUCCAAUUGCGGACAGAAUAUGGGAAAAUCUCCCACGAAGGAUUGACGAGAAAACAAUAGCUGUUCCCCAGCAAAAGAAUGAUUAUGAUUGUGGUCUCUUUGUUCUUUUCUUUAUGGAGCGUUUCAUUGAAGAGGCCCCUGAAAGACUGAAAAAGAGAGAUUUAGCAAUGUUUGGCAAGCAAUGGUUCAGACCUGAAGAAGCCUCUAGCUUGAGAACGAGAAUACGGAACUUACUAAUCGAACAAUUCCAAACUACAACUGAGGAACAAUUCCAAACCACAACCGAGGAUACGGGUGGUUCACAAUCUUCUCCUUCAUCCUAACUCCUUUUUAAGUUGGUGCUCCAGCAUGAAUCUGGUGCCAGAGAAAAAUGACACACCAGCAGAUAGGGUACCAUCUUUGUACAGCUUCCUUAUGGUCCUCACAUUCAAAUGCAUCAAUGGCAAAAUCAGUUUGUGCUAGGUUGUUUGAACUGGACCGGUUGGACCGGGAAUUGGACGGGGUAUGGGUCCGGAGAAAGGCAUUGAACCAGUUGACCCAAGAACCGGUACAAACCGGUUGAACUUAGCGGUUGAACUUGAACUGGAUUUUUUAAUAUAUAUUUAAAAUUUUUAAUGAUUUUUUAAUUCAACCGGACAUAUCGGUUGAACCGGUUGGAUUGAUGGCCUGGUUGGUUCAAUCACUAGCCCAUUCCUGAAAACCUUGAGUUUGUGUUUUGUGUGUGUUUAUAUGGUUAACAAGAAAAAAUAUGAAAAUAUAA